rnacentral:rRNA from 1 species
GGGGAAUCUUCCGCAAUGGGCGCAAGCCUGACGGAGCAACGCCGCGUGAGUGAAGAAGGUCUUCGGAUCGUAAAGCUCUGUUGACGGGGACGAACGUGCGGAGUGCGAAUAGCGCUUUGUAAUGACGGUACCUGUCGAGGAAGCCACGGCUAACUACGUGCCAGCAGCCGCGGUAAUACGUAGGUGGCGAGCGUUGUCCGGAAUCAUUGGGCGUAAAGGGAGCGCAGGCGGGCCGGUAAGUCUUACUUAAAAGUGCGGGGCUCAACCCCGUGAUGGGAGAGAAACUAUCGGUCUUGAGUACAGGAGAGGAAAGCGGAAUUCCCAGUGUAGCGGUGAAAUGCGUAGAUAUUGGGAAGAACACCAGUGGCGAAGGCGGCUUUCUGGACUGCAACUGACGCUGAGGCUCGAAAGCCAGGGGAGCGAACGGGAUUAGAUACCCCGGUAGUCCUGGCCGUAAACGAUGGAUACUAGGUGUGGGAGGUAUCGACCCCUACCGUGCCGGAGUUAACGCAAUAAGUAUCCCGCCUGGGGAGUACGGCCGCAAGGCUG